CAGCAGCCACGGUAAUACGAAGGGGGCUAGCGUUGCUCGGAAUCACUGGGCGCAAAGGGUGCGUAGGCGGGUUUCUAAGUCAGGGGUGAAAUCCUGGAGCUCAGCUCCAGAACUGCCCUUGAUACUGGAAGUCUUGAGUAUGGGAGAGGUGAGUGGAACUGCGAGUGUAGAGGUGAAAUUCGUAGAUAUUCGCAAGAACACCAGUGGCGAAGGCGGCUCACUGGCCCAUAACUGACGCUGAGGCACGAAAGCGUGGGGAGCAAACAGGAUUAGAUACCCCUGUAGUCCCUGUCUCUUAUAC
rnacentral:rRNA from 1 species